rnacentral:rRNA from 1 species
AAGCGUUGUUCGGAAUUACUGGGCGUAAAGGGCGCGCAGGCGGCUGCUCAAGUCAGGCGUGAAAGGCCUGGGCUCAACCCGGGAAUUGCGCUUGAGACUGGGCUGGCUUGAGUGCGGGAGAGGAUGGUGGAAUUCCCAGUGUAGAGGUGAAAUUCGUAGAUAUUGGGAAGAACACCGGUGGCGAAGGCGGCCAUCUGGACCGCAACUGACGCUGAGGCGCGAAAGCGUGGGGAGCGAACAGG